rnacentral:rRNA from 1 species
AUACGGAGGAUGCGAGCGUUAUCCGGAUUUAUUGGGUUUAAAGGGAGCGUAGGCGGGAGCUUAAGUAAGCGGUUAAAUGGUGCGGCUCAACCGUGCCCUGCCGUUGAAACUGGGUUUUUUGUGAGUGCAAGAGGCGGAUGGGAUUCAUGGGGUUGGGGGGAAAUGCUUAGAUAUCAUGAAGAAUUCCGCUUGCGAAGGCACUCCGCUGGGGCACGUCUGACGCUGAUGCUCGAAGGUGCGGGAAUCAAACAGGAUUAGAUACCCUGGUAGUCCGCACGGUAAACGAUGAUUACCCGCUGUCGGCGGCAGACAGUCGGCGGCCAAGCGAAAGCGAUAAGUAAUCCACCUGGGGAGUACGCCGGCAACGGUGAAACUCAAAUGAAUUGGCGGGG